rnacentral:rRNA from 1 species
UACGGGAGGCAGCAGUGGGGAAUAUUGCACAAUGGGCGAAAGCCUGAUGCAGCUAUGCCGCGUGUAUGAAGAAGGCCUUAGGGUUGUAAAGUACUUUCAUCGGGGAGGAAAAAACAAAACUAAUAAUUUUAUUUCUUGACGUUACCCGAAAAAGAAGCACCGGCUAACUCCGUGCCAGCAGCCGCGGUAAUACGGAGGGUGCUAGCGUUAAUCAGAAUUACUGGGCGUAAAGAGCACGUAGGUGGUUUUUUUAAGUCAGAUGUGAAAUCCCUGGGCUUAACCUAGGAACUGCAUUUUGAAACUGAAAUACUAGAGUAUCGUAGAGGGAGGUAGAAUUCUAGGUGUAGCGGUGAAAUGCGUAGAUAUCUGGAGGAAUACCUGUGGCGAAAGCGGCCUCCUAAACGAAUACUGACACUGAGGUGCGAAAGCGUGGGGAGCAAACAGGGAUUUAGGAUACC